rnacentral:snoRNA from 2 species
UGCGUAUGAUGAGUACAAAAAAAAUUUUAACUUUCGUUCUUCUGUAUCGUUAGAAGUGAAGAUAAUUUUUAUGUCUGACGCGA